rnacentral:rRNA from 1 species
UACGUAGGUGGCAAGCGUUGUCCGGAUUUAUUGGGUUUAAAGGGUGCGUAGGCGGUCUUAUAAGUCAGUGCUGAAAUAUCCCGGCUUAACCGGGAGGGUGGCAUUGAUACUGUAGGACUUGAGUAAAGUUGAGGUUGGCGGAAUUGACGGUGUAGCGGUGAAAUGCUUAGAUAUCGUCAAGAACACCGAUAGUGAAGACAGCUAACUAAGCUUUAACUGACGCUGAGGCACGAAAGUGUGGGGAUCAAACAGG